rnacentral:pre_miRNA from 1 species
AGGAGGAACAGCCCCAGUGGCGGGGCCAGCUCUGGAAACCUGGAUUCAGCUCCGGCAGGAACUCCGGAGCUCUCCGUCUGCAGGGCCUGGAGGCUCCGGGGCGGG